CGAAUGCUGACAUAAGUAACGAUAAAGCGGGUGAAAAGCCCGCUCGCCGGAAGACCAAGGGUUCCUGUCCAACGUUAAUCGGGGCAGGGUGAGUCGACCCCUAAGGCGAGGCCGAAAGGCGUAGUCGAUGGGAAACAGGUUAAUAUUCCUGUACUUGGUGUUACUGCGAAGGGGGGACGGAGAAGGCUAUGUUAGCCGGGCGACGGUUGUCCCGGUUUAAGCAUGUAGGCUGGUUAUCCAGGCAAAUCCGGAUAAUCAAGGCUGAGGUGUGAUGACGAGGCACUACGGUGCUGAAGUAACAAAUGCCCUGCUUCCAGGAAAAGCCUCUAAGCAUCAGGUAACAUCAAAUCGUACCCCAAACCGACACAGGUGGUCAGGUAGAGAAUACCAAGGCGCUUGAGAGAACUCGGGUGAAGGAACUAGGCAAAAUGGUGCCGUAACUUCGGGAGAAGGCACGCUGGUG
rnacentral:rRNA from 1 species